AUUGAACGCUGGCGGCAGGCCUAACACAUGCAAGUCGAACGAGUGGCGGACGGGUGAGUAAUGUCUGGGAAACUGCCCGAUGGAGGGGGAUAACUACUGGAAACGGUAGCUAAUACCGCAUACCAUCGGAUGUGCCCAGGUGGGAUUAGCUAGUUGGUGGGGUAACGGCUCACCUAGGCGACGAUCCCUAGCUGGUCUGAGAGGAUGGCCAGCCACACGGGAACUGAGACACGGUCCAGACUCCGACGGGUGUCAGCAGUGGGAAAUAUUGCACAAUGGGCGCAAGCCUGAUGCAGCCAUGCCGCGUGUAUGAAGAAGGCCUUCGGGUUGUAAAGGACGUUCAGCGGUGAGGCGGUACUUGCAGAAGAAGCACCGGCUAACUACGUGCCAGCAGCCGCGGUAAUAC
rnacentral:rRNA from 1 species